rnacentral:rRNA from 1 species
UACAGAGACUGCAAGCGUUAUUCGGAUUCACUGGGCGUAAAGGGUGCGCAGGCGGCCAAGUGUGUCAGGUGUGAAAUCCCGAGGCUUAACCUCGGAACUGCGCCUGAAACUACUUGGCUAGAGUACUGGAGAGGGUAACGGAAUUCACGGUGUAGCAGUGAAAUGCGUAGAUAUCGUGAGGAACACCAGAGGCGAAGGCGGUUACCUGGACAGUUACUGACGCUCAGGCACGAAAGCCAGGGGAGCAAACGGG